UAUGGCGACCGGCGCACGGGUGAGUAACGCGUAUGCAACUUACCUAUCAGAGGGGGAUAGCCCGGCGAAAGUCGGAUUAAUACCCCAUAAAACAGGGGUCCCGCAUGGGAAUAUUUGUUAAAGAUUCAUCGCUGAUAGAUAGGCAUGCGUUUCAUUAGGCAGUUGGCGGGGUAACGGCCCACCAAACCGACGAUGGAUAGGGGUUCUGAGAGGAAGGUCCCCCACAUUGGUACUGAGACACGGACCAA
rnacentral:rRNA from 1 species